GAUCUAAUGUGAACGAAAUUUAAUUUUAAAUUCCUAUGUAAAUAUAACCUAGAUUUCAAGCCUUGGUUGUUUCUUAGGCUGUAUGCUGCUUGCAAAAAAUGAUUCCAGAUUUGUGGGAAGAAUGAUGAUAUAACCCUGUGCAACUACCUGAGCAGUGGAAUUGGUACAAGAGCUUUGAAGAGAAGUAAAAGUUUUCCCUGUUUCCUAAAUAGAUGAAACACAUAGUUUCACUUUGGAAAUGGCAGACACGAGAUAUCAUGUAAUAAUGCACUGGCCAAUGAGAAGCCAGUCCUGAAUAUAUGCACAUUUUGUGAAUCUCCACUUGGAAGUGUCUGAAGAUGCAAAAUGGAAAGAGGACUAGAUCCCCACUUCAGGGCAUUUAAAGCACCUCUGAUGUCUCCGUUCCAUCUUUCUUCUUCUCGGGUCAUGAUUUAGAAGUCAAAGGCAAACACAACAGUCCUGAAGUGCCUCACAAUAAUUGCUAGAGGAGGUGCAGAAACAGCCCUAGACCAUACAUGACAUCUCUUGGAAUUUCUGGCUCCUGCCUAGCUCUCGAAGGAAGAACCCAGCUACCCAGCUCUGCCUAUACCUCCAAGCAAACAGACUUGAGAUUUCACCCAUUUGAGGAGCUCCAAGUGAGAAACUACUUCUGCCAAUUCAGAUUGGCAUUCUGCUACGAGAUGAAGAGUCUUUGAUGCCAGCAGGGUAGGGGGUGGGGUCUUAAGCCAAGAAAGCACAGCCAGAGACAAGGAUUGAAUCCCAGUCUUCCUGAAUGCAAGGGCAGCUUCAUAUUUGCUAUGAUGACUCUCUGUAUGAACAGACCUAUGGUUCCUCCAUUUAACUUGUCUUGAGAAUUCCGCAGCUAGUCAUGCUUUUUGACAUUUCUUCUAACCAUAUGUGGAUAUGUAUAUAUGUACCAGUUUUUCUUGUACAAUGUUGAAACAAAGAACAUUUUAACUAGGUCAUUUUUGAAGUGUCAAAUAAGUGAAGACUCUAUAAAAACAUAGUGAACUAAGGAGGCCCAAAGUCCUACAAGCCAAAAGAAACCCAGAAAAUCCCAGAAACCCCAGGUGCUUCAAAGGGGCAAGAAAGAAUCAGCCACCUAGAGAGAUGAACUAAAAUGCAAUGCUUUCACAUUGCAGUCACAUCAAUAAUUCAAAAUCACCCCAGGCCUGUCUGAAUCACUGAGGAAAUAAAUGAUGCCGCCCCAGCCCUAACA
rnacentral:lncRNA from 1 species